AGAGAUGUGUGAUGACGCAUAUCAAUAAGCGGAGGAAAAGAAACUAACAAGGAUUCCCUUAGUAACGGCGAGUGAAGCGGGAAGAGCUCAAAUUUGAAAUCUUCAAGGUUCUACCUUGACGAAUUGUAGUUUAUAGAAGUGUUUUCUGUUAGUGGAGUGGCAAAAGUUCUUUGGAAUAGGACAUCAUAGAGGGUGAGAAUCCCGUAUUUGGUCAUUCCUUCCUAGCGUUGUGAUACACUUUCAAAGAGUCGGAUUGUUUGGGAAUGCAGUCCAAAAUGGGUGGUAAAUUUCAUCUAAAGCUAAAUAUUGGCGAGAGACCGAUAGCGAACAAGUACCGUGAGGGAAAGAUGAAAAGAACUUUGAAAAGAGAGUUAAACAGUACGUGAAAUUGUCAAAAGGGAAGCGUUUGACACCAGUGUUGUUUUUCCGAAAAUCAAUUACGAAUGUUUUAGUUUUUGAGGAGUUAUGACUUCAUCGGCUCGCUCCUUUCUUUAUGAAACUUUCUUAAUGCACUUUUCGGUUAACAAGUCAACAUCAAUUUCUUUUGUUGUAAAAGGGUAUGAGGAAGGUGGCUUUCUUUUCGGAGAAAGUGUUUAUAGCCUUGUGCCUCUGCAAUCGGAGAGAUUGAGGUCUGCAGCGUAGAUCCUUCGGGGUUAGAUACACUUGUGCUAAGCUAUAGCCUUUUAUAGACAACUUGUUGACUAUGCUCAGUCAUGUAGCUUACUCGCUUAGUGCUAUUUUACCUACGCUUAGGAUGUUGACGAUCAGCUGAGCGCG
rnacentral:rRNA from 1 species